GAUGAACGCUGGCGGCGUGCCUAAUACAUGCAAGUCGAGCGAACGGACGAGAAGCUUGCUUCUCUGAUGUUAGCGGCGGACGGGUGAGUAACACGUGGAUAACCUACCUAUAAGACUGGGAUAACUUCGGGAAACCGGAGCUAAUACCGGAUAAUAUUUUGAACCGCAUGGUUCAAAAGUGAAAGACGGUCUUGCUGUCACUUAUAGAUGGAUCCGCGCUGCAUUAGCUAGUUGGUAAGGUAACGGCUUACCAAGGCAACGAUGCAUAGCCGACCUGAGAGGGUGAUCGGCCACACUGGAACUGAGACACGGUCCAGGCUCCUACGGGAGGCAGCAGUAGGGAAUCUUCCGCAAUGGGCGAAAGCCUGACGGAGCAACGCCGCGUGAGUGAUGAAGGUAUUCGGAUCGUAAAACUCUGUUAUUAGGGAAGAACAUAUGUGUAAGUAACUGUGCACAUCUUGACGGUACCUAAUCAGAAAGCCACGGCUAACUACGUG
rnacentral:rRNA from 1 species